UACGGAGGGAGCUAGCGUUGUUCGGAAUUACUGGGCGUAAAGCGCGCGUAGGCGGCUUUGUAAGUUAGAGGUGAAAGCCCGGGGCUCAACUCCGGAACUGCCUUUAAGACUGCAUUGCUUGAAUCCGGGAGAGGUGAGUGGAAUUCCGAGUGUAGAGGUGAAAUUCGUAGAUAUUCGGAAGAACACCAGUGGCGAAGGCGGCUCACUGGACCGGUAUUGACGCUGAGGUGCGAAAGCGUGGGGAGCAAACAGG
rnacentral:rRNA from 1 species